rnacentral:lncRNA from 1 species
UAUAUACGCGUCGUGCGCCGCCUAUAGAGGCGCCACUGAUGGCCACCUAGCGGACGCUUCCAACAGUUCACG